rnacentral:rRNA from 1 species
AGAGUUUGAUCCUGGCUCAGAAUCAACGCUGGCGGCGUGCCUAACACAUGCAAGUCGAACGAGAAAGUGGAGCAAUAUCUUGAAGUUGGAGUGGCGCAAGGGUGCGUAACACGUGGGUAAUUUGCCGCGAAGUUGGGGAUAACUCGCUGAAAGGCGAGCUAAUACCGAAUGUGAAAAUUGGGAGGCAUCUUCCGAUUUUUAAAGUUGGGGACCGUAAGGCCUGACGCUCCACGAUAAGCCCGCGGCCUAUCAGCUAGUUGGUGAGGUAACGGCUCACCAAGGCUAAGACGGGUAGCUGGUCUGAGAGGACGACCAGUCCCACUGGAACUGAGACACGGUCCAGACACCUACGGGUGGCAGCAGUCGAGAAUUUUUCUCAAUGGGCGAAAGCCUGAAGGAGCGACGCCGCGUGGGGGAUGAAGGGCUUCGGCUCGUAAA